UCGGACCCCGGGCACAGUCUCUGGGUGUGGGGAGCAGGCAUCAGUAUAUUUUGAAGCUCCUCAGGUGAUUCCAAUGUGCAGAUGAG